CAAGGUGUAGUUUAUUUUAAAAUGUGUUAUUUACAUUAAUGUGAAGACUUAGAGUUUAUCUUGA
rnacentral:tRNA from 1 species